UCAAUAAAAACAAAUUUUGACCCGGACGUGAUUUGAACACGCAACCUUUUGAUAACAUCCAGAAUUAUAAAAUUUUUAUACUGGAGUCAAACGCGCUACCAAAUUGCGCCACCGAGCCAAUGUCACAAUUGAAAUAGUUACCGACUCACCUCAUAAGUCAGUUCAUAACUCUCUUCAAUGUUGAAGAUAAUUGAAAAUUCAAAGUGAAUUGAUCGAAUUUCAGUCAACUCGGAUUAUCAAUCGAUUAUUCAUUGAAAAUCCACACUCGCAAAUUUUAGCCAUUCCCAUUUUUUUUCAUUUCAGAAACUUGAUUGCCAAAUUUGAAAAAUAUGAUUUUUUGACUCAAGAUUCGCUUAUUGAAAUACCUCGAGAUUGGCACGAAGAAAAAACUCAUGAAAUAAUGAUUCUUGCACUUAUCGACUUUUUAAAAUGUUCAUCUCUGUCUUGAAAUGUUCAAUCAAUGAAUCAUAAUUAUUGAUAAAUGUAAUUAACAACAUGAAUCAAUCGAAUGCUUCAACCGCUAUUGGAACAAGCCUUAUCAUUGUAAAUCUGUUCAACAGGUUUUUGGUCGUCAAUGGCUCGUUCUGAAAAAGACAGCUUUAGUACAUCUCUGAUGAUGAUUCUAGUCAUCGAAUCGAUAAUGAUGAAUCUAUGAAACAUGAGACAUGGAUAAUAAACAAAAAUAAAAAUGAUCAUGAAUCGGAAUCAUCAUCAUUACAAAAUUUGUGGCGAGAUGAUUGUCAUUUUAUUACGUAAAAAUGUUGGACAUUCUUGAUAUUGUGAACAGAUUCAGGUGGAAUAUGUUGAGUUUUUUUAAUGACACGUCGCACUAACAAAAACUGCACAAUUGGUAUAUAAGAACAACCAGUCGUAACAAGAACAAAGCAAGAACUAGAACUUUAUUUUUCAGACUCAAUAAUAUCAACAGUAACAAAA